GAUGAAUGCUGGCGGCGUGCCUAAUACAUGCAAGUCGAGCGAACAGACAAGGAGCUUGCUCCUUUGACGUUAGCGGCGGACGGGUGAGUAACACGUGGGUAACCUACCUAUAAGACUGGGAUAACUUCGGGAAACCGGAGCUAAUACCGGAUAAUAUUUCGAACCGCAUGGUUCGAUAGUGAAAGAUGGUUUUGCUAUCACUUAUAGAUGGACCCGCGCCGUAUUAGCUAGUUGGUAAGGUAACGGCUUACCAAGGCGACGAUACGUAGCCGACCUGAGAGGGUGAUCGGCCACACUGGAACUGAGACACGGUCCAGACUCCUACGGGAGGCAGCAGUAGGGAAUCUUCCGCAAUGGGCGAAAGCCUGACGGAGCAACGCCGCGUGAGUGAUGAAGGUCUUCGGAUCGUAAAACUCUGUUAUUAGGGAAGAACAUACGUGUAAGUAACUAUGCACGUCUUGACGGUACCUAAUCAGAAAGCCACGGCUAACUACGUGCCAGCAGCCGCGGUAAUACGUAGGUGGCAAGCGUUAUCCGGAAUUAUUGGGCGUAAAGCGCGCGUAGGCGGUUUUUUAAGUCUGAUGUGAAAGCCCACGGCUCAACCGUGGAGGGUCAUUGGAAACUGUAAAACUUGAGUGCAGAAGAGGAAAGUGGAAUUCCAUGUGUAGCGGUGAAAUGCGCAGAGAUAUGGAGGAACACCAGUGGCGAAGGCGACUUUCUGGUCUGUAACUGACGCUGAUGUGCGAAAGCGUGGGGAUCAAACAGGAUUAGAUACCCUGGUAGUCCACGCCGUAAACGAUGAGUGCUAAGUGUUAGGGGGUUUCCGCCCCUUAGUGCUGCAGCUAACGCAUUAAGCACUCCGCCUGGGGAGUACGACCGCAAGGUUGAAACUCAAAGGAAUUGACGGGGACCCGCACAAGCGGUGGAGCAUGUGGUUUAAUUCGAAGCAACGCGAAGAACCUUACCAAAUCUUGACAUCCUUUGACAACUCUAGAGAUAGAGCCUUCCCCUUCGGGGGACAAAGUGACAGGUGGUGCAUGGUUGUCGUCAGCUCGUGUCGUGAGAUGUUGGGUUAAGUCCCGCAACGAGCGCAACCCUUAAGCUUAGUCGCCAUCAUUAAGUUGGGCACUCUAAGUUGACUGCCGGUGACAAACCGGAGGAAGGUGGGGAUGACGUCAAAUCAUCAUGCCCCUUAUGAUUUGGGCUACACACGUGCUACAAUGGACAAUACAAAGGGCAGCGAAACCGCGAGGUCAAGCAAAUCCCAUAAAGUUGUUCUCAGUUCGGAUUGUAGUCUGCAACUCGACUACAUGAAGCUGGAAUCGCUAGUAAUCGUAGAUCAGCAUGCUACGGUGAAUACGUUCCCGGGUCU
rnacentral:rRNA from 1 species